UAUUGUUACCAGAGAAGUACCAGGCGGGAAACGAAUUCUGAUAAUAAAUAUUAAUGCCCAGCAAAGUGCUUUUAAAAGAGCCAUAAACCAUUAAAUUUAAAAAUUUUAUUAAAGAUUAAGUAACGUUUCGUCUUAACUCAAGACAUCUUCAGACUAUAUUAAAUUACAAGCUGUAAGAGUAAUUAAGCAUAAAGUAAAGCUAUUAUAGCAAUAUUAAAUUACAAGCGAAUACGAGGUACACAAAACGUAAGGAUAAGAAUGGAUAAUGAAGGGAAGUGACGGACAAAAAUGAGAACAACCAAAUUAGACAACACAAACAGACAAAACAUAAAAAAAAAGAAAAAAAAAGAGAUCAGAAUACGUGAAGAGGGAUUGAACUGCCUUGAACGUUGAGAGAGGGUUUCAUUUUAGAGAUAAAAAAGCUUUCAUGAAUAAGGAGUUCUUGUUCAUCUGAACAAGAGGAGAGGAUUUCGAAGUCGUCAAUAGAAGCAGCGUGGCCUGUGGAUGUGAGAUGUGAGAAAAUGCUGGACUGGGGAGGAUUUUUACAUUGUUUGCCAGUGAUAGGAGUGAUACCCAGAUGUUCCGAAACUCGGGUGUGUAGAUGGCGCGUGGUUUGACCCACAUACGAUGCGGAACAGCAUCGACACGUAAAAGAGUACACUACACCCGACUUCAGUGCUUUGGGUAUUUUGUCCUUAAAAGAGAAAAAGGUUGAGAGCCGUUUAGUUGAUCGAAAGACAAAUCUUAUAUCAAGAUGUGGGAAAGCAGCACGACAAAGACGGUUGAUUUGCGUGCGAAUUUGCAAGGAGUGAGUGCCCGUAAAAGGGAGACAGAAAUAAAUUAUUUUCUUAGGAACAGUAUGAACAGGUAGCUUAGGUUGAAAUACUUUGUUAAGAAAAGUUCUAACACAUCGGUCGAACAUAUGAGAAGGGAAACCAUUUAAGAUAAACAUUCUACGUGCUGCUUCAAGUUGGUGAUGGAAAGUCUCAUAGCUAGAACAAAUGCUAAAGAUGCGGUGUAUUAAGCAAGAUAUUAUGCUGCGUUUGUAUGUAAGUGGAAUGAAGCUAUGGAAGUUAGUAAAAAGACCAGUAAACGUAGGUUUACGGUAAACAGAAGUAGAAAAUUUUCCAUUGGAGCGGGAUAUGUCAAUGUCAAGAAAUGGGAGCUUACCAUCACGUUCAACCUCACUAGUGAAGCGAAUGUUGGUGUGCUGGCGAUUAAGAUAUGUGAGAAAGAGCUGUACAUGCUCUGAGCAACGGAAAAGUAGGAAACAAUCGUCAACAUAUCGUCUAUAGAGAAGUGGUUUGAAAGACGAAGGACAGUUGUGAAGCCAAUCCUUUUCGUGAAAGGACAUAAAUAUGUUAGCAAACAAAGGUCCUAAAGGACUACCCAUAGCUACGCCGUCAACUUGAUGAUAUAAACGACCAUUGAACACGAAAUGACAAUUUUUGACAGAAAGACUUAAGAGUUUAGUAAAAUCAGAACGAGUGAGGCCAUGAAAUCUACAACAGUUAGAAAACAAACGAUUAGUAAUUAUCUCAAUCGUUUCAUCAACAGGGAUGUUAGUAAAGAGUGAAGUAACAUCAAAACUAGCCAUUAUAACAUUACUCGUAUCAAGAUCAGAAGAAAGAAGUUCCUGGACGAAAGAGAAGGAAUCCUUAAUGACAUAAGUGCUGGUCGAGAUGGGAGUGAGAAGAGGAAUAAAGAAUUUAGCAAUAUUAUACGAAUAAUGAUUAAUGCAAGAAAGGAUAGGCCUAAGUGGGAUAUUACAUUUAUGUGUUUUAGGUAGUCCAUACAGGAUGCCUAAGCGUGAACCUGUAGGAUACAGUUCAUUGUAAGUUUUUUGAUCAAUUGAUUCAGACGCUUUCAGAUUUUUCAGCAGAGUCUUGACAUGAUUUUCGCGCUGUAGUGUUGCUUUGACAGGAUCUUCAUUCAAGAGUUCAAAUUUCGUGUUAUCAGACAGGAUUUCCUCCAUUUUUUUGUUGUAAUCAUCUUUGUUUAGAAUAACAACGCCGUUACCUUUAUCAGGUCUCAUUAUCACGAUGUUACUGUCUUUUCGUAAGUCAUUUAGCAUGUUGAUCUCUUCUUUCGAGUAUAAGAAAUUCGGCCGACUAUAGCUCCGGAAACCAGAAUGAGCUAUGUCUUUUAUUCGGGUCUUAAUAAAUGCCGGGUAAAAUCCAGAAUGUUCAUAAACCGGUUCUCGUUUAAGUUGAGAGAACAGUCUUUCAAAUGGCGCAAAGAAACCGCACGGAUUAAGCUUGGCA